AUUGAACGCUGGCGGCAUGCCUUACACAUGCAAGUCGAACGGCAGCAUGAUCUAGCUUGCUAGAUUGAUGGCGAGUGGCGAACGGGUGAGUAAUACAUCGGAACGUGCCCUGUAGUGGGGGAUAACUAGUCGAAAGAUUAGCUAAUACCGCAUACGACCUGAGGGUGAAAGUGGGGGACCGCAAGGCCUCAUGCUAUAGGAGCGGCCGAUGUCUGAUUAGCUAGUUGGUGAGGUAAAGGCUCACCAAGGCGACGAUCAGUAGCCGGUCUGAGAGGACGAUCAGCCACACUGGGACUGAGACACGGCCCAGACUCCUACGGGAGGCAGCAGUGGGGAAUUUUGGACAAUGGGGGCAACCCUGAUCCAGCAAUGCCGCGUGUGUGAAGAAGGCCUUCGGGUUGUAAAGCACUUUUGUCCGGAAAGAAAUCGCACUUACUAAUAUUAGGUGUGGAUGACGGUACCGGAAGAAUAAGGACCGGCUAACUACGUGCCAGCAGCCGCAGUAAUAC
rnacentral:rRNA from 1 species